CCUACGGGGGGCAGCAGUAGGGAAUAUUGCUCAAUGGGGGAAACCCUGAAGCAGCAACGCCGCGUGGAGGAUGAAGGUUUUCGGAUUGUAAACUCCUUUUGUUAGAGAAGAUAAUGACGGUAGCUAACGAAUAAGCACCGGAGAACUCCGUGCCAGCAGCCGCGGUAAGACGGAGGGUGCAAGCGUUCCUCGGAAGCACUGGGCGUAACGAGCGCGUAGGCGGGAUCGCAAGUCAGAUGUGCAAGCCUAGGGCUUACCCAUAGAACUGCAUUUGAAACGGUUAUUCUUGAGUAUGGGAGAGGUAGGUUGAAUUCUUGGUGUCGGGGUAAACUCCGUAGCGAUCAAGAGGCA
rnacentral:rRNA from 1 species